ensembl:misc_RNA Metazoa_SRP Metazoan signal recognition particle RNA
GCCGGGUGUGGUGGCGUGCACUUGUAAUCCCAGCUACUUGGGAGCCUGAGGCAGGAGAAUCACUUGAGCCCAGGAGGCAGAGGUUGCAGUGAGCCAAGAUCGUGCCACUGCACUCCAGUCCAGCCUGGGCAACAGAGUGAGACCCUGUCUCAA